UACGGGGGGGGCAAGCGUUGUUCGGAAUUACUGGGCGUAAAGGGCUCGUAGGCGGCCAACUAAGUCGGACAUGAAAUCCCCAGGCUCAACCUGGGAACUGCAUCCGAUACUGGAUGGCUUGAAUUCGGGAGAGGGAUGCAGAAUUCCAGGUGUAGCGGUGAAAUGCGUAGAUAUCUGGAGGAAUACCGGUGGCGAAGGCGGCAUCCUGGACCGACAUUGACGCUGAGGAGCGAAAGCCAGGGGAGCAAACGGG
rnacentral:rRNA from 1 species